UCUUCUUCUUCGUCGUCCUCGCUGAAGGAGUGCAGUGAGCGAGGUAAUUACAAUCUGUUUGGAUAGUUGGAAGUGUUCACUAUGCACAAACACACUGAUUGAAGGGAUAGUAUGAUAGUUGCCAAGGAGCCCUUUUUCUGCUUGGCCUUGGGGACGAAAAGUCUUUUAAGUCUGGUGUAUAUAUCUAUAUUAUACUCAAUAAACAAUGAUGUAAUGGAG
rnacentral:lncRNA from 1 species